ncrna:unclassified sequences RAGATH-30 RNA
GUAAGAAUAAGAAUGUAUCGAAUAAGUCUAUAUAAGUAGAAUCUACCAGGUGGUAGAAA